rnacentral:lncRNA from 1 species
CUAUUAUUUGUUCAAAACAUAUUCAUAGAGUUGCCACUGUAACAACUUGGAAAGUAGAUUAAAAUCACACCAUCCCUUUCCACCCCCCAGUAAAUAACUUUGCAUUUCAAUGCCUCCCAGAACAUUUCAGGAAUAAUCAACAGGACUCAGAUUUUUCUUUUUCAGCUUGAAGGCAAGAAGUUUGAAUGAUAGGGUUGUCAAGUCUUGGAAGAUUGGACUAAACUCUUCCCUCUCCUGCCCCUCAAAGGACUACCUCUGUCCUGAAGACGGAAUUUCCAACUGUUGCUGGACACUUUCACUCUGCUGUGCUAUGGCUGAGCCUUUCUUCUGAAGAAACUCCGUUCCCCCCUGCAAUGCAGGCUUUGGAAAGACAAGAUGUUUCUUAAGAAGUUUCUGAAAUGAAUAGUCACCAUCUGGAGCCAUUUACAAUAAGAAGAAGGUAAGCAUGCACCUGUUCCUUUCUUUAAAAAGAUGUAAUCUCUGUACCAAAUUAUAAACAAGUAUGGCAGUUUCCAUAAAAAUGCAAUAUUCAAUUUGCCAAAGCAGUUUAGAAACAUAUUGAUAAGAAUGUGAUUUUGAAAAGUAUGCUUCUAAAAGACUCAGUCUCUUUUCAGAUUUCAUUCCUUCCUUGAAAUGUUUUAAAGAUAAAACUCUUCAAAGUGGGUGCGUGUUCUACCUUGUU